rnacentral:lncRNA from 1 species
CAAGAACCAUAGAGAUAGAAAGAAGAGUAAGUAAAACUCCAAUUAGACCAUGGCUGCAGCAUGCUUGUGAGAUAGAAAAUACUAAAAAUUCAAUUUUAUGUAAGUUAGUAACUAGUGGAUUGCUUCUGGAGCUCAUGCCAGAGCUGGGAGUCACAUGAGAGUUCAUGGAAGAAAGAUAUCUGUGGUAGAGUCCUGGAUGUGACAGAACACAGAUGGCACCAACGAGUUUCACAGCCAGAAAGAGAAGGUCCCGCUUGAGUGAGGACAGAUGCAAAGACUGGAGAUCAGAGCUCUUGGAGAGUCCCUGAAAGAGCCUUAAUUGUGCGCUCACCCUUGGAGAUAAUAACAGCUCCCAGGCUCGGGGGAGAGAAACCUCACAGGAGAGUGGGCAUGGUGGCUAUGCUGGAAGACAGAAGCAGUGGGAGUCAGGGCCUUCUCUGCACUGAAGAUGAAGCGUCUAUUCCUCCAGCUUCUUGCCUCGCUGUUCUUGCAAUCCUUCAGCACGUGGCAAUGCCAGGCAUGGAGCAGACGUGAAGGAAAUAAACUAAGCAGUUGAAAUUACUGUUUAACUCGGGCUCCUCCAGAGGAUUCAAGCCAGUAUCCACAGUACUCAUUGAGCACCUGCCAUGCUCCAGGCAUUGAACAAAAUAGACAAAGAUCCUGCCCUCAUGAAGCUUGUAUUCCGCUUAUUGGGAACUCCUUGAAGUUCUAAGAGUCAACACAAGUCGACUUUCUAAUGGGUUUUGCUGCUAAGUAGCUUUUGAUCUUAGGCCAGUCAUUCAACCUACCUGGGCC